CCUGGCUCAGAUUGAACGCUGGCGGCAUGCCUUACACAUGCAAGUCGAACGGUAACAGGUCUUCGGACGCUGACGAGUGGCGAACGGGUGAGUAAUGCAUCGGAACGUGCCCAGUCGUGGGGGAUAACUGCUCGAAAGAGCAGCUAAUACCGCAUACGACCUGAGGGUGAAAGCGGGGGACCGUAAGGCCUCGCGCGAUUGGAGCGGCCGAUGUCAGAUUAGCUAGUUGGUGGGGUAAAGGCCUACCAAGGCAACGAUCUGUAGUUGGUCUGAGAGGACGACCAGCCACACUGGGACUGAGACACGGCCCAGACUCCUACGGGAGGCAGCAGUGGGGAAUUUUGGACAAUGGGCGCAAGCCUGAUCCAGCAAUGCCGCGCGCAGGAAGAAGGCCUUCGGGUUGUAAACUGCUUUUGUCAGGGAAGAAAUCUUCUGGGCUAAUACCCCGGGAGGAUGACGGUACCUGAAGAAUAAGCACCGGCUAACUACGUGCCAGCAGCCGCGGUAAUACGUAGGGUGCGAGCGUUAAUCGGAAUUACUGGGCGUAAAGCGUGCGCAGGCGGUUAUGUAAGACAGAUGUGAAAUCCCCGGGCUC
rnacentral:rRNA from 1 species